UACGUAGGGUGCAAGCGUUGUCCGGAUUUAUUGGGCGUAAAGAGCUCGUAGGCGGCUUGUUGCGUCGGCUGUGAAAACCCGUGGCUUAACUGCGGGCUUGCAGCUGAUACGGGCGGGCUAGAGUUCGGUAGGGGAGACUGGAAUUCCUGGUGUAGCGGUGAAAUGCGCAGAUAUCAGGAGGAACACCGGUGGCGAAGGCGGUUCUCUGGGCCUUACCUGACGCUGAGGAGCGAAAGCAUGGGGAGCAAACAGG
rnacentral:rRNA from 1 species